CGGGCGGCUGCUAUACUGCAAGUCGAACGGUCUUUUCUAUGGAAGCUUGCUUCCACUGGGAAGAUAGUGGCGAACGGGUGAGUAACACGUGGGUAACCUGCCCAUAAGAGGGGGAUAACAUCCGGAAACGGGUGCUAAUACCGCAUAGUUUUCUUGAUCGCAUGAUUGAGAAAGGAAAGACGGCCUUUGUGCUGUCGCUUAUGGAUGGACCCGCGGCGUAUUAGUUAGUUGGUGAGGUAACGGCUCACCAAGACGAUGAUACGUAGCCGACCUGAGAGGGUGAUCGGCCACAUUGGGACUGAGACACGGCCCAAACUCCUACGGGAGGCAGCAGUAGGGAAUCUUCCGCAAUGGACGAAAGUCUGACGGAGCAACGCCGCGUGAGUGAAGAAGGUUUUCGGAUCGUAAAACUCUGUUGUCAGAGAAGAACAAGUCGGAGAGUAACUGCUCCGGCCUUGACGGUAUCUGACCAGAAAGCCACGGCUAACUACGUGCCAGCAGCCGCGGUAAUACGUAGGUGGCAAGCGUUGUCCGGAUUUAUUGGGCGUAAAGCGAGCGCAGGCGGUUCCUUAAGUCUGAUGUGAAAGCCCACGGCUCAACCGUGGAAGGUCAUUGGAAACUGGGGAACUUGAGUGCAGAAGAGGAGAGUGGAAUUCCAUGUGUAGCGGUGAAAUGCGUAGAUAUAUGGAGGAACACCAGUGGCGAAGGCGACUCUCUGGUCUGUAACUGACGCUGAGGCUCGAAAGCGUGGGGAGCAAACAGGAUUAGAUACCCUGGUAGUCCACGCCGUAACGAUGAGUGCUAAGUGGUUGGAGGGUUU
rnacentral:rRNA from 1 species